GGCGGACGGGUGAGUAACGCGUAGGAAUCUACCAAGUAGUGGGGGAUAGCCCGGAGAAAUUCGGAUUAAUACCGCAUACGCCCUACGGGGGAAAGGAGGGGAUCUUCGGACCUUUCGCUAUUUGAUGAGCCUGCGUGAGAUUAGCUAGUUGGUGGGGUAAAGGCUCACCAAGGCGACGAUCUCUAGCUGGUUUGAGAGGAUGACCAGCCACACUGGGACUGAGACACGGCCCAGACUCCUACGGGAGGCAGCAGUGGGGAAUAUUGCACAAUGGGCGCAAGCCUGAUGCAGCCAUGCCGCGUGUGUGAAGAAGGCCUUCGGGUUGUAAAGCACUUUCAGCGAGGAGGAAAGGAAUGUGGUUAAUACCCAUGUUCUGUGACGUUACUCGCAGAAGAAGCACCGGCUAACUCCGUGCCAGCAGCCGCGGUAAUACGGAGGGUGCGAGCGUUAAUCGGAAUUACUGGGCGUAAAGCGCGCGUAGGCGGCCAAGUCAGUCAGAUGUGAAAGCCCCGGGCUCAACCUGGGAACUGCACCUGAUACUGCUUGGCUAGAGUACAGAAGAGGGUGGUGGAAUUUCCUGUGUAGCGGUGAAAUGCGUAGAUAUAGGAAGGAACAUCAGUGGCGAAGGCGGCCACCUGGUCUGAUACUGA
rnacentral:rRNA from 1 species